rnacentral:rRNA from 1 species
UGGCGAAAGGGUGAGUAAUGCAUUGGAAUGUGCCCCGAGGUGGAGGAUAGCCGUGGGAAACCGCGAGUAAUACUCCAUGUGGUCUUCGGACGAAAGCUUCGGCGCCUUGGGAGCAGCCAAUGUCCUAUCAGGUUGUUGGUGGGGUAAGAGCCCACCAAGCCAAAGACGGGUAGCGGGUGUGAGAGCACGACCCGCCACAUCGGAACUGAGACACUGUCCGGACUCCUACGGGAGGCUGCAGUAACGAAUCUUCCGCAAUGCACGAAAGUGUGACGGAGCCAAUGACGCGUGUGGGAUGAAGCGGUUAACGCCGUGUAACCCACUGUCAGGUUUCCAGAAAGAACUGAUCAAAAACCAAGGAAGGGCCGCCUAAUCUCAUGCCCGCAGACGCGGUAAUACGAAAGGCCCGAGCGUUGAGCGGAAUCACUGGGCUUAAAGGGUGCGUAGCCGGACAUUCAGGUGUCUUGUGAAAUACCACGGCUCAACCGUGGAAUUGCAGGGCAAACCGGAUGUCUUGAGGCUGGUAGAGUUUGUCGGAACGUUGGGUGGACCGGUGAAAUGCGUAGAGAUCCAACGGAACGCCGAAGGUGAAGACAGGCAACUGGGCCAGACCUGACGCUGAGGCACGAAAGCGUGGGGAGCAAACAGGAUUAGAUACCCUGGUGGUCCACGCCGUAAACGUUGUGCACUGGGUCGAUGUGAAUCUGACUUCAUGUCGGCCGUAGAGAAAUUGUUAAGUGCACCGCCUGGGGAGUACGGUCGCAAGGCUAAAACUCAAAGGAAUUGACGGGGGCUCACACAAGCGGUGGAGCAUGUUGCUUAAUUCGAAGCAACGCGAAGAACCUUACCAGGGUUUGACAUGUAUGGAUUAGCUCUUGGAAACAUGAGUAACGCGGCUUGCCGUGGAACAUACACAGGUGCUGCAUGGCUGUCGUCAGCUCGUGCUGUGAAGUGUCGGGUUAAGUCCCUUAACGAGCGCAACCCUUAUCGCUAGUUGCCAGCGCGUCAUGGCGGGGACUCUAGCGAGACUGCCGGUGUCAAACCGGAGGAAGGUGGGGAUGACGUCAAGUCAGCAUGGCCCUUACACCCUGGGAUGCAAACGUGCUACAAUCGCGUGGACAAAGCGAUGCAAGAUCGCGAGAUGGAGCAAAUCGCAAAAACCACGCGCCAGUUCGGAUUGCAGGCUGCAACUCGCCUGCAUGAAGCCGGAAUCGCUAGUAAUCGUGGAUCAGCAUUGCCACGGUGAAUACGUUCCUGAGCCUUGUACACACCGCCCGUCAAGUCAUGGAAGCUGGGAGCGCCCGAAGUCGCCAUAUCUCAAUGGGCCCACGGCGAGCUCGGUGACUGGG